UACGAAGGGGACUAGCGUUGUUCGGAAUCACUGGGCGUAAAGCGCACGUCGGCGGAUUUGUAAGUCAGGGGUGAAAUCCCGGGGCUCAACCUCGGAACUGCCUUUGAUACUGCGAGUCUUGAGUCCGAUAGAGGUGGGUGGAAUUCCUAGUGUAGAGGUGAAAUUCGUAGAUAUUAGGAAGAACACCAGUGGCGAAGGCGGCCCACUGGAUCGGUACUGACGCUGAGGUGCGAAAGCGUGGGGAGCAAACAGG
rnacentral:rRNA from 1 species